GUGAGUAACGCGUUGGUGACCUGCCCCAAAGAGAGGGAUAACAGUUCGAAAGAACUGCUAAUACCCCAUGUGAUCACCGGUCUUAGAAUCCGGUGAUUAAACGGAGCAAUCCGCUUUGGGAGGGGCCUGCGUCCCAUCAGCUAGUUGGUAGGGUAACGGCCUACCAAGGCGAUGACGGGUAGGGGACCUGAGAGGGUGGCCCCCCACAAUGGAACUGAAACACGGUCCAUACACCUACGGGUGGCAGCAGUAGGGAAUAUUGCUAAUGGGCGAAAGCCUGAAGCAGCAACGCCGCGUGCGCGAUGAAGGCCUUCGGGUUGUAAAGCGCUUUUUGAGGGGAUGAGGAAGGACAGUACCCUCAGAAUAAGCCUCGGCUAACUACGUGCCAGCAGCCGCGGUAAAACGUAGGAGGCGAGCGUUAUCCGGAUUUACUGGGCGUAAAGCGCGUGCAGGUGGUUCGGAAAGUUGGAUGUGAAAGCUCCCGGCUUAACUGGGAGAGGUCGUUCAAUACUUCCGGGCUUGAGUGUGGGAGA
rnacentral:rRNA from 1 species